rnacentral:rRNA from 1 species
UACGUAGGGUGCAAGCGUUGUCCGGAAUUAUUGGGCGUAAAGAGCUCGUAGGCGGUCUGUUGCGUCGGCUGUGAAAUCCCGGAGCUCAACUCCGGGUCUGCAGUCGAUACGGGCAGACUGGAGUACUGCAGGGGAGACUGGAAUUCCUGGUGUAGCGGUGAAAUGCGCAGAUAUCAGGAGGAACACCGGUGGCGAAGGCGGGUCUCUGGGCAGUAACUGACGCUGAGGAGCGAAAGCGUGGGGAGCGAACAGG